rnacentral:rRNA from 1 species
AUUGAACGCUGGCGGCAUACCUUACACAUGCAAGUCGAACGGCAGCACGGGUGCUUGCACCUGGUGGCGAGUGGCGAACGGGUGAGUAAUACAUCGGAACGUACCUUAUCGUGGGGGAUAACGCAGCGAAAGCUGUGCUAAUACCGCAUACGCCCUGAGGGGGAAAGCGGGGGAUCGCAAGACCUCGCGCGAUUAGAGCGGCCGAUGCCUGAUUAGCUAGUUGGUGGGGUAAAAGCCCACCAAGGCGACGAUCAGUAGCUGGUCUGAGAGGACGAUCAGCCACACUGGGACUGAGACACGGCCCAGACUCCUACGGGAGGCAGCAGAGGGGAAUUUUGGACAAUGGGGGCAACCCUGAUCCAGCAAUGCCGCGUGAGUGAAGAAGGCCUUCGGGUUGUAAAGCUCUUUUGUCAGGGAAGAAACACCGGCUCUAACACAGUCCGGGAAUGACGGUACCUGAAGAAUAAGCACCGGCUAACUACGUGCCAGCCGCCGCAGUAA